AUUGAACGCUGGCGGCAGGCCUAACACAUGCAAGUCGAACGAGUGGCGGACGGGUGAGUAAUGUCUGGGAAACCUCCUGAUGGAGGGGGAAAACUACUGGAAACGGUAGCUAAUCCCGCCUACCCUACGAUGUGCCCUGCUGGGAUUGGCUAGUUGGUGGGGUAACGGCUCACCAAGGCGACGAUCCCUAGCUGGUCUGAGAGGAUGACCGGCCACACUUGAACUGAGACACGGUCCAGACUCCUACGGGAGGCAGCAGUGGGGAAUAUUGCGCAAUGGACGAAAGCCUGACGCAGCAACGCCGCGUGUGUGAUGAAGGCCUUCGGGUUGUAAAGUACUUUCAGCGGGGAGGCGUUACCCGCAGAAGAAGCACCGGCUAACUCCGUGCCAGCAGCCGCGGUAAUAC
rnacentral:rRNA from 1 species